rnacentral:rRNA from 1 species
ACUGCUCAGUAACACGUGGACAACCUACUCUUGGGUCUGGCAUAAUCCUGGGAAACUGGGUAUAAUUCCAGAUAGGUCACAGAUGCUGGAAUGCACUGUGGCCGAAAGCUCCGGCGCCCAAGGAUGGGUCUGCGGCCUAUCAGGGUUGUAGUGGGUGUAACGGACCUACUAGCCUACGACGGGUACGGGUUGUGAGAGCAAGAGCCCGGAGAUGGAUUCUGAGACACGAAUCCAGGCCCUACGGGGUGCAGCAGGCGCGAAAACUUUACAAUGCGGGAAACCGUGAUAAGGGAAUCUCGAGUGCCAGCAUAUAAUGUUGGCUGUCCAGAUGCCUAAAAAGCAUCUGUUAGCAAGGGCCGGGCAAGACCGGUGCCAGCAGCCGCGGUAAUAC